UACGUAGGGGGCAAGCGUUGUCCGGAUUUAUUGGGCGUAAAGAGCGUGUAGGCGGUUAGGUAGGUCCGUUGUGAAAACUCGAGGCUCAACCUCGAGACGCCGAUGGAAACCAUCUGACUAGAGUCCGGAAGAGGAGAGUGGAAUUCCUGGUGUAGCGGUGAAAUGCGCAGAUAUCAGGAAGAACAUCGGUGGCGAAAGCGCUCUACUGGACCGCAACUGACACUCAGGGACGAAAGCUAGGGGAGCGAAUGGG
rnacentral:rRNA from 1 species